UACGAAGGGGGCUAGCGUUGCUCGGAAUCACUGGGCGUAAAGCGCACGUAGGCGGACUCUUAAGUCGGGGGUGAAAUCCUGGAGCUCAACUCCAGAACUGCCUUCGAUACUGGGAGUCUUGAGUUCGGGAGAGGUGAGUGGAACUGGCGAGUGUAGCGGUGAAAUGCGUAGAUAUUGGGAGGAACACCAGUGGCGAAGGCGGCUCACUGGACCGGUUCUGACGCUGAGGCGCGAAAGCGUGGGGAGCAAACGGG
rnacentral:rRNA from 1 species